UAAAACAAUGAUUACUCCUUGAACCUGUUGAUGUUCAACAAGCAGUAUCUGUGGUGUUCCUGGCUUUCUUCGUUCUCCAUAAAGUACAACAAUUAUUUUCCCUUCGAUUGUAAAUUGUUCUCAAGUUUAGUCUCAUCUCAUAUGCAUUUUCUCUGUUUAAACUCUGACAUCUGAGAAUACGUCUGCUACAUUUUCCACUUUGUUUUGACCUUGUUAAUAUAUUUCAUCUAACACCAUGGGUUAUUUAUCCUGUAGGCAAUUGGGGUUUUGUCUAAAGGCAUUGAUAACUGGGGACACCUUGGAGGCUUAAUAGGUGGUGUUGCAACCUCAUGGUUUCUUGGUCCUGCUUGGAAGCUGGAGUCCAUUUCUAAUGAUGGCCAUGCUGACAACGCACCCAUUUUUACCGUCAUUAAGCAUACAAGAAAUAGCAAUAGAUGACAUCAGUCAUUUGUAUUGAGGGUUGUUCCAUGAACAUUACAUCAACUUUGCUUUAGGUUUUUGUCUUGAAUUUGAAUCUUAGAGAUCAGGAUGGAAGGUUUUAGUACUGUAGGUAAGAUUAUGAAUUAAUUUGUAUGUACUGGGAGGUAGUAUGUUUGUGGAACCUUGGUGGCUGCUUUGAAAUAAAGUGUGUUAUUGGUUUGCUGUGAA